GCCUCUGUGGAUUAAUUGGAAACUCGACUCUGUUCCAUGUAAUGUGGAUUAGUUUGACCACUACGAGAGUCGAUGUGGGUUCGAAUCCCACCAGAGGCA